GUUUCUGAGUGAUGAUCUUUAUUUACUGUCUUGAUUCUGGUGUUUUUAAAUACUGGCACAUUGAAAUCCAUUGAAAUCUGCAAGUGUGUGAACAAUUUCAACAGAAAAGAGGAAACCAUGAAAAUGAACAAAAUCUGGCUACCAGUAUUAAAAAACACCAGAAUCAAGACCGUAAAUAAAGAACAACAAACAGCAAUCAAUCAAGUGCCAGUUAAGACUGCAUAUAGUUGACUAAGUUUCUGUGGGAUCGCCACUUGUGUGUAUGUGUAUUAAGGAAAAACACCUGGUCAAUCACAAUUCAUAGUUGGGUAAUUAGAACAAUCAAGGAUAACAAGCUUGAACCAUUCCCUGAAUGGGGUAUAACUUGGGAAAUGUUUGUAAUGCUUUUUGGGACCUACUGAAUCACUUGCUUCAGAACUUACUUGGAGUAAGUUCCUGGCUGAGAACCUAUUAUGCUUGUCUCCUUGUGCCAUUGAAAGAGAAAUCUCCAAAUAAGAUGCCUGAAUUUAAUGCAAAGAACUUUAUGUGAGUUUGUUGCUCCAGAUGGACUGAGUUAUUUUGAAGCUGGAGGUUUUGUGUUUUUGAAGCUGCUUGUUUAAUUUUGUCCUUGACUCUGUUACUUAAGAGUAAACUUUGAUUUUUUCCAUUUUCUUGGCUUGUAUUUGCUCAUUGUGGAUGCACAAAAAGGCUGGAUAAGUCUGGACAGGACUGCACGCAGUUUGUCUUUCCACAAACCCGUAACAUAGUUCACCUACAUCUUUAUGUAUUUUCUAAUAGGAGCAAUCAUAAAAACAAAAGCAAACAAUGACUAUGUCUUAAUAACGACAGUACAAGAGAUCUAACCCAGGCAUCACUGUGUCAAUAUAAAUGAACAUAAAGCACUUAUCCUUUACGUACUCCACUCCUUCCUCAUCUUGCUUGCUUAUGCAAUCACAUCUAAAAUAUAAACUAAAGGGUGUGGCUGUUUUUAAGGUUCGUUUCUGGAACGUUGCACUGGGCUGUUUAUAGGAAGAGGACAAAUACGGCAAUCCUCUCCAAAGCACCUGUUACAAUAGACUGAAAACCCAGAGUCCUUUGGCAGUAUUAAGAGUGUCACUGGAUCGGCUGUUCCUCCCACAUUCUAGCACUUUUUGGAUGGUACCUUGUAAAACUACCAGUCGUAUUGUCUUUAUUAUUCUGACGAUUGGGACUCAAGAAAAAAAGAACCACGAAAAAGCUGAAUAUGGAUUAUUGGAGAGCAGUUUUUGAAGGGCUGAUCAGGAGAGUGAAACCAAAUGAUGACUGGAGACUGACAAUGGAUCAGGCGCUUGAUUUCCACCAGUUACCGUAUGGAUGGAAGUGCUCGGUGCAGAAACAUGUCAAUGCAAGGAUGGCUCCCACUUCCAGAGAGCACUGUGACUUCCGCCAACAACAGAUCUGGACCAAACAUGGCACGCAGACCCCCUAUGACCCACUUUAAGUACUUGUGGGGUUUGGAGGGGAUUGACUUUGAAUGUUGGAAGUUCUAGUUCAUCCACAUCCAGAGGACAUUCUGAACCCAACUGAUGAUGGAUCUGGACCAAACUUGGCACCCAUACAAACAUGGCCAACAUUGAAUACUGGUAGGGUUUGGGAAGAAUUGAUCCAUGAUUUUGGGACAUGUAGUUUAUUGCUGCAUAUGCAUGUAGUUGACUAAGUUUCUGUGGGAUCGCCACUUGUGUGUAUGUGUAUUAAGGAAAAACACCUGGUCAAUCACAAUUCAUAGUUGGGUAAUUAGAACAAUCAAGGAUAACAAGCUUGAACCACUCCCUGAAUGGGGUAUAACUUGGGAAAUGUUUGUAAUGCUUUUUGGGACCUACUGAAUCACUUGCUUCAGAACUUACUUGGAGUAAGUUCCUGGCUGAGAACCUAUUAUGCUUGUCUCCUUGUGCCAUUGAAAGAGAAAUCUCCAAAUAAGAUGCCUGAAUUUAAUGCAAAGAACUUUAUGUGAGUUUGUUGCUCCAGAUGGACUGAGUUAUUUUGAAGCUGGAGGUUUUGUGUUUUUGAAGCUGCUUGUUUAAUUUUGUCCUUGACUCUGUUACUUAAGAGUAAACUUUGAUUUUUUCCAUUUUCUUGGCUUGUAUUUGCUCAUUGUGGAUGCACAAAAAGGCUGGAUAAGUCUGGACAGGACUGCACGCAGUUUGUCUUUCCACAAACCCGUAACAUAGUUCACCUACAUCUUUAUGUAUUUUCUAAUAGGAGCAAUCAUAAAAACAAAAGCAAACAAUGACUAUGUCUUAAUAACGACAGUACAAGAGAUCUAACCCAGGCAUCACUGUGUCAAUAUAAAUGAACAUAAAGCACUUAUCCUUUACGUACUCCACUCCUUCCUCAUCUUGCUUGCUUAUGCAAUCACAUCUAAAAUAUAAACUAAAGGGUGUGGCUGUUUUUAAGUUUCGUUUCUGGAACGUUGCACUGGGCUGUUUAUAGGAAGAGGACAAAGUACGGCAAUCCUCUCCAAAGCAGCUGUUACAAUAGACUGAAACAUCAGAGUCCUUUGGCACUAUUAAAAGUGUCACUGAAUCAGCUGUUCCUCCCACAUUCUAGCACUUUUGGAGAGUACCUUUUUGAAAAGAUUGGAUCUCAAAAAACAAAACAAAACAAAAGAACAACAAAAGAGCUGAAUAUGGAUUAUUGGAGAGCAGCUUUUGAAGCACUAAUCAGGGCAGUGAAACCAAAUGAUGCCUGGAGACUGACAAUGGAUCAGACACUUGAUUUCUACAAGUUACCACAUGGAUGGAAGCGCUCAGUGCAGAAACAUGCCCAUGCAAGUUUCACAUGUUCACAAUGCUUCCGUCACUGGACAUCUCACCAAGUUGUCAUCUUAUUCCACUUGUUUUGGGAUCCAUACAUGAGGCAAGGAUCUGCUCGGAUGAGGUUCUUCCGACAACAGUGCCUUGUGUGCCAUUCCAAGUAUGAAGAGCCAGAAUUUACUGAGGAGGCCGUGAUGAAAGUGUUGAACCACUUGAUCAUCAGCAUACGAAAAAAUUGCUACGGAGAGCCCUUUGACGACACAGAAUUAGUCGAGGUGGUCUACAGCACUGGUCCUCACAUGCGUGAAUAUUGUGAGGCUUACCAACUGGGGAUACACAAAGGGCGUUACUCCUCGCUUAGAAGUGGAGGGCAUGAUACAAUAGAUCCCAGCUGGGUGCAGGAUGCAACAGAUCCUAGCUGGGUGCAUGAAAGCACUGGGCUUCUACAGACCACUGAACAGACAGGAACCCCAGCACCAUCAUCCAGAAGACCAAAUGAAUCCAGUUACCUCCGUAUUUGCCUUUUUAUUUGCUUCAUUUGUGUUAUCCUACUGUUUCUGAUUCUUUUCUUGGUUUAUUGGAAUCAUUGAUUCUUGGGAAUACUAAACAAGUGAUAAAUUAAAAUGCCCAGUUGACUAUGGCACUGCUUCUUAAACUGUGGGUCCCAGCCCCAAGUGGGGCCCUUUCAUUCAAUCUUGGUGUCCUGAAAAAUUUGGCAAUGGUAAGAGGUGUCUGAAUGCCACUUAGUGGCCCUUUUAGACAUUUACAUGAAUCUGUUGGGCAGGGUUUAAUUCAGAUGUACUAUAUAUACUCGAGUAUAAGCUGACCCGAGUAUAAGCCAAGGCACCUAAUUUUACCACAAAAAACUGGGAUAACUUAUUAACUCGAGUAUAAGCCAAGGGUGGGAAGUGAAGCAGCUACUGGUAAAUUUCAAAAUAAAAAUAGAUACCAAUAAAAUUACAUUAAUCGAGGCAUCAAUAGGUUAAAUAAUGUAUAUGUAUGGAUACAGAUAUACAGGUACAUGGAUCUAUUUGUAUAUAGGAUUUGCAAGGACCUGCAAACAUAUGAGGGGAAAAUUCAUAUAUAAAAUUAAUGUAUAUAGAUAGAUAGAUACCGAUAUAUAAGUACACAGGGAUUGCAAAUGCAUGCAGGGAGUUAAUGCCUAUAUAUCUGUAGGAGAGAUUAACAAAUAUUUUAGGGGAAAAUGCUUUUAUAAGAUUAAUGGAUAUAUAUUUUUCUUCUUCCUGACUUGCAAGGGCGUCUUUCCUUUUUCAAAAUAUUCCCUUGGUUAAGAGCGAGAGAGGCUUUGGAAAACACACUGAUAAGGGAGGGUAAGAGAGGAAUAUAUCAUCUAUUGUAAGCAAUGGCCUCCAGGUUCUGUUGCCCGACCUUGACCCCAUUAUAUGCCGAGGGAGGCUUUUUCAGCUAAAAAAAAAGGCUGAAAAACUCAGCUUAUCUUAAAGUAUAUACGGACUUUUUUCAUAAAAAGAAAAAUCAGCCUGUUCAGUAAAACUCUGAUUUUUAUGCCUAUUUUAUAUACCUGAGGUCACAUAAAAUUUUCUUGAUCCAAGAAAGUUUCAGAGUGGAGAAAUUUAAGAAGCCCUAGACUAUAGGAUUGUUAAUGAUAAACCUAAAAUAUGUGCGGUAGACCGCAUUCGGUCAUCAAAAACCUGAACUUAUGUUUUUGCUGUCUUUUCUUAAUAAAAUAUUCCUCUCAACUCAUGACUGAAAUGUCUUGGCUUUUCCUUUCUUGAUGUAGAGAGGAAACUCUAGUUGAAGACUUUCAGGCUAGCAUCCUUGUUCUGUUUGAAUUUGCAUGUUUAUUGAGGGAAUUCAUGGCAGGUCUGGCAUUUUAGGACUUGCCCUAAAACUUCUCCAUCCAAGAAGGAGAAGAGACAGAGGUAGAUUUAGGUUUCAAUCUUUAAUAUCUGCAAAAUAGUAGAGACAGUUUUAGCUCAUACUGAAAAGGAACUGCCCACCCCUUCGUGGGUUGUAUUUCUAGUUAUAAUAUUUUACAAGCAUGCGCAGAAGGCUAGUCUUGGCCCAGAUCCGUGUUUUAGUCUUCUGUUUUUAAUAUUUUAUGCUGUAUGUUGUUUUUUAUGAUGGUUUUAUUGAUGUUGAUGUUUUAUUGUUGAAAUCACUGUUUUAUUGUUGUAUAUGUUGGGCUUUGUCCCCAUGUAAGCUGCUCCGAGUCCCUCCGGGGAGAUGGGGCGGGGUAUAAAAAUAAAGUUAUUAUUAUUAUUAUUAUUAUUAUUAUUAUUAUAACUUUAUUUUUAUACCCCGCCCCAUUAUUAUUAUUAUUAUUAUUAUUUAAUAAUGGAAAAUUACUAUCAUGCAAUCCUUAAACAUGCACAGUUGUCUCCAGCUCAUAUAAAUCAUUAAUAAUUAAAUCAGGUAAAGAGUCCACAUCAUGUACACAGUUGUCCUCAACUUAUUUUAAUCAUUACCUAUGACAUCAGGUGGACCAUCCAUUCUCCACAUAAUGUAAAUACUAGCCAACUUACAUUAAUCAUUAGAUCAGGAAAACAUCAUAUGAAUAACAGGUAAGCCAAAUGUCAUCACUGUUUACAUUAGCUGCUCACAGUUAUUUGUAUAAUCUAACCUUCCUUUCUGUCUUAGUUAAUUAUCAAGGCAUAUGUCAAAUCAUGCGUUCUAUAAACAAUCUUGGGGAAAAACAAGAUUUUGAGUAAGGUGUCAUCUAGGCAAGUGAUUAAUUUUUUUCCUACAAAACACAGCGCCUCACACUGUUUUGUUCAUAACUUGGGGACUGCCUGCUUCCUAAUGUUCAAUCUGCUCCUACUUUAUCCAAAAAUGUAAAAUAUUGCUUGGACACAAGCCAGACAUACAGUCAUGGCUGGGCAAACACAUUUGACUCAACAUCAUUAAAAAAAAUUAAAGAUUGAAUGUUUUUUUCCUUUUGGUUUCUUAGUUUCAAUUACAAAAGUUGCUCCAGUUUUCUCUUCUAUACAGAGGUAACAAUUAGUUUGUCUACACCAUAUUGGGCAGAGGUCACUUGAGGUCAUCUACACUGUUGGAAGUGAAGAAGCAUCCACACGUCUAUGCUCUGUGGUACAGGCCUCCUCCCGUCUGGUUUCUCAUCUAUGUAACUCAGUGUGUUCCUGCCUUCAGGGAAAGGUCUUUCGUGCUUGAUUCCUUUUUGUUCGAGAAGGGAGCAUCUUGAGUUCAUCUCUGCCUCAGGAUGCCUUACAUGCAAACAUGAGAAUCAGCAUUAGGGAAUCUUUAUUGAAGUCGGUCAAUUUUCUUUCAUGUAUCUACUUGUUUAAUCCAAGAUGUGUUCCCUGCAACAAUAAAAGUACUUUUUCACCCUGUUUAACCUUUUUAGAGGUUCCUGCACAUUUUCUCUCCUGCCCAUAUAUAACACUGUGUUAUGGUUGAGCCUCAUGGCUCUACUACUGGGAGACGUGGGCGUAAGACUCCUCGAGAGUCAGAUACUCUCGAGGAGCGAGAAAGGAAGCGGCUGCGAGAUAUCUUUGCAGAACCAUCUGACGAGGAUUCUUUUGAGGGGUUUACUGAGAGAAUGGAGGAAGAGAUGGUUAGCUCGGAAGAGGAUGACAUGGAAUGGACUCGUGUAAGGGAGGAUUUGGGUGCCACUGGCAAUGAUAGUAUGGAAGGCGAUUGGGGACCUUCAGGAUUAGACCCGUGGACAAGCUGGAGGGAUGGGAUGGGAUCCACAGCUGGGGAUGCUGUGGGGCGUAGUCAAAGGUGUUCCAGUUCUGAUGAGGAAAGUGAUGAGGAAACGCCCGGACUGAGGAGAACAGCUGAUAGCGAUGAGGACUUGUAACUGGCAUAAAAUGGGGUUUGGGAGCAAUAGCAAAUUGCGUUGGGCAAGGUAAUCUGGACGAACGCUUGGGAUCUGUGUGGGAAGUUUUCCUGAAGACGGGUGUGAUUCGUUUGCUGACUACGUAAGUUAUCCUGGACAUUGGGCUCAGACGGCGGGAGGAAUUGUGUGGGCUUUUGUUGUGCAACCUCUGCUUAAUCUUAAUAGCUUUGACCUUCCGUCGUCUUCUUGACGGACGCCAUCUGCUUACUCUGGACUUACGGACUGACUGACUACGGCCUCGGAUUCUCCUACCUGUGUCUAUCGUUGGAACUGGUGAACUACAAACGUCUGCAUCUGCCUUACGACCUUCGGAACGGAUUGGGACUUCGCUGACUGCUUCUGCCCUCGUCUGCUGUGUUUGUAUUGGGAAAUUGCCUGCUGUGUGGAGGAGUAACCUCUAAGUUACUCAAACAUAGCUCUUGGCAGCAGAGAAGCAUCUGCUGCCAAUUAUUUGCAUUCCUUUGAACUUUUUGUUCACCAGCUUCUGUUUGUUUAUUCCCAGGCUGAAGCAAGCUGUUUUGAUUUAACCCGGAUUAAACUCCGGUUUAAUCCGGUUUAUCUUUUGAACGUUUUUCUUGUCUCUUUUUACUUUUAAGGCCAGUGUUUGCCUAGCCCUUGUCUUUUACGGGCAUUUUUGGUUCUGUAACUCCAAUAAACUUUGUUAUCUUUUAU